rnacentral:lncRNA from 1 species
UUGCCCCGCCUUCUCUUCUUGUUUGCCUUCCACUAUAAAUACAGAGUGCAUGGUGCUCCCGGCGGCCAUUAGCUCCCGACAAGCUAUGGGUUUCACCUGGUCCCGGUUAAGAGUAACCUUGGUCUUCGUCAUCUUUCUUCAUCUCCCACCGCUCUCCCCGGCUUCAGACCCUUCGCUGUUUGAGUCGCGGCAGAAAUGGAUGUGCAUGGGAUGAUGUUGGCAAACAUCUUUUCCAUGGAAACUUUCACUGCACAUUUCACCCUGGGGCUUAAGUGGUGAGGGGCACUCGGUGGAUUGAAUUUCACUCUCCACUCUGGCAAGACAGUCACCCACCAAUUCAGACCUCAGGAUGGCUUGUGUGUAUGGAAUGGGUGUUCAGGCUGAAGAACAGGAUGACUGGAAACUCAUCUACAGCCAAAGAAUUGGAGGUGGGUAGAGGAUGAACUCAAAGCCCUGCCAGU